rnacentral:other from 2 species
AUUUCUCUGAGAUGUUUGCAAGCGGGCCAGUCCCCUGAGCCGAUAUUUCAUACCACAAGAAUGUGGCGCUCCGCGGUUGGUGAGCAUGCUCGGUUCGUCCGAGAAGCCUUAAAACUGUGACGACACAUUCACCUUAAACCAAGGGUUCAAGGGUUACAGCCUGCGGCGGCAUCUCGGAGAUUCC